CGGGUUCUGCCCCUCUCGUCACGAGGUCAAAUUCCGGUGGCCUUAAGCAAAUCCGAGGGAGCCGGCUCUGUCCGGGCCGUGGCCCGGUUACCUGGCGCCCACCUGUUCGUACAGGUCCUCGGGAAUUCGUUGCCUCAACGGUUGCUGGUGGUCCCGCC
rnacentral:sRNA from 1 species